AUACGGGAGGCAGCAGUAAGGAAUAUUGGUCAAUGGACGAAAGUCUGAACCAGCCAUGCCGCGUGAAGGAUGAAGGCCCUCUGGGUUGUAAACUUCUUUUAUCUGGGACGAAAAAAGCUCAUUCUUGAGCACUUGACGGUACCAGAGGAAUAAGCACCGGCUAACUCCGUGCCAGCAGCCGCGGUAAUACGGAGGGUGCAAGCGUUAUCCGGAUUCACUGGGUUUAAAGGGUGCGUAGGUGGGUCUGUAAGUCAGUGGUGAAAUCUCCGAGCUUAACUCGGAAACUGCCAUUGAUACUAUAGGUCUUGAAUCAUCUGGAGGUAAGCGGAAUAUGUCAUGUAGCGGUGAAAUGCUUAGAUAUGACAUAGAACACCAAUUGCGAAGGCAGCUUACUACGGGUGUAUUGACACUGAGGCACGAAAGCGUGGGGAUCAAACAGGAUUAGAUACCCUGGU
rnacentral:rRNA from 1 species